UAAUACGUAGGGUGCAAGCGUUGUCCGGAUUUAUUGGGUUUAAAGGGUGCGUAGGCGGUCUAUUAAGUCAGUGGUGAAAUCCAACAGCUCAACUGUUGAUGUGCCAAUGAUACUGAUGGACUUGAGUACAGACGAGGUAGGCGGAAUUGACAGUGUAGCGGUGAAAUGCAUAGAUAUUGUCAAGAACACCGAUAGCGAAGGCAGCUUGCUAGCCUGUAACUGACGCUGAGGCACGAAAGUAUGGGGAUCAAACAGG
rnacentral:rRNA from 1 species